rnacentral:lncRNA from 1 species
GGUGUCCUGAGGACUUCCUAAAAGAAUGAGAUCUGACUAACUUGUCCAAAGUCACAAAAGAAACUGGCGGCAGCACAGAGGAUUGGUGAUUUGCUAGCAUGACAUGUGGGUGACCAUGAAGUCUUUCUAGAGCACCUCAAAUGUCACAGCAGCCCUUUGGCCUUGGGCCCCUGCCCUUCUUGCAUGGGAGGGGUGGAAGCUGUGCUGGGCUCAGGCCCUUGUGGGUCUGGGUGCCCCGUGGCUGCCCCUGUAUGGCACAGCUGGAGUCAUGGGAGCUUUCCCUGGCCAGGGGGCUGUGGCAGCCAGAUGCUCAAUAAGGAUUAAGCCGAAUCUACUACCUAAAUUUCUUACUUCCUCACUUCCAACUCCUGCCCAGUGGCCAUGACAUUCUGUUUCAAGCAGGGAUGAACCUCUUCUGGCCAAAAACCCACUUGGGCAAGAUUCAAACAAACAUCCAGGCCAGCAGCUUCAAGUGCUCUCAUUCACAAGCGAUCAGUCAGAAAUCUCUGCUGAUUUUGGUGGCACUGACAUCAAAGGUACAGCAUUUUUCACUGCAUGACCACACUGACGUCACCACUGUAAAGCCUGAUGGAGGAUGGAAUGAGCAGAUCCUGCCAGUUUUCUCUGCCUGGAUUUGGCAGCACGCAGAGGUUUUGUGAUGUGCUCUACUGGAGGUUGUUUUUGGCACCUCCCCUGCAGUGUCAGUGCCAGUGUGCAGCAGAAGAGCAUCUCAUCUCUGAGCCAUGCUGGAAUAGGAGGUGGGAGUCAGCACUUUUCUUCCAGCAGAUGCCACCCAACCUUGACCUCCACCAUCCAGAUGUGCAGGAGCUUUGGAAACUCAAGAGACAGAUGAGCACACAUGGAAGAGCGAUGCUCAGGUGCAGAGCGAGCAGGAGUGUGCAUUGCCACUGA